ACGGGAGGCAGCAGUGAGGAAUAUUGGUCAAUGGCCGAGAGGCUGAACCAGCCAAGUAGCGUGCAGGAUGACGGCCCUAUGGGUUGUAAACUGCUUUUGUGCGUGAUUAAAAGUCUCCACGUGUGGUGAUUUGCAGUUAGCGCGCGAAUAAGGACCGGCUAAUUCCGUGCCAGCAGCCGCGGUAAUACGGAAGGUCCUGGUGUUAUCCGGAUUUAUUGGGUUUAAAGGGAGCGUAGGCGGCUGAAUAAGCGUGUUGUGAAAUCCCGGGGCUCAACCCCGCGUGUGCAGCGCGAACUGUUCAGCUUGAGAGUACGCCAGGCAGGCGGAAUUCGUGGUGUAGCGGUGAAAUGCUUAGAUAUCACGAAGAACCCCGAUUGCGAAGGCAGCUUGCCGGAGUACUUCUGACGCUGAAGCUCGAAGGUGCGGGUAUCGAACAGGAUUAGAUACCCUGGUA
rnacentral:rRNA from 1 species